UUUGUGUUUUGUGCUGCAGUGUAUAAGCUUGGGAGGAUACAGGACAGGAGACCUGGAACGUCUCUGCCGUGAGAGACCGGCCGAUCCUCCGGAGGUCCUCUCACACCUGCAGGGUCGUAAGAGGUGAACAGAGAAACGAGACGGCUGCUGGUGUACAGACUGUGACAGGAACGGUGUAAGAGUCUGCAGAAAACGGGCUUCUCCCAGAGGAGAGCUACGUGC